GACGAACGCUGGCGGCGUGCCUAAUACAUGCAAGUAGAACGCUGAAGAGAGGAGCUUGCUCUUCUUGGAUGAGUUGCGAACGGGUGAGUAACGCGUAGGUAACCUGCCUUGUAGCGGGGGAUAACUAUUGGAAACGAUAUCUAAUACCGCAUAACAAUGGAUGACCCAUGUCAUUUAUUUGAAAGGGGCAAAUGCUCCACUACAAGAUGGACCUGCGUUGUAUUAGCUAGUAGGUGAGGUAACGGCUCACCUAGGCGACGUUACAUAGCCGACCUGAGAGGGUGAUCGGCCACACUGGGACUGAGACACGGCCCAGACUCCUACGGGAGGCAGCAGUAGGGAAUCGUCGGCAAUGGGGGCAACCCUGAGCGAGCAACGCCGCGUGAGGGAAGAAGGUUGUCGGAUCGGAAAGGUCUGUUGUAAGUCAAGAACGAGUGUGAGAGUGGAAAGUUCACACUGUGACGGUAGCUUACCAGAAAGGGACGGCUAACUACGUG
rnacentral:rRNA from 1 species